rnacentral:lncRNA from 1 species
AGUGGAAAGAUUGAUAGCCACAUUACUUUUGCUAUUCUUUGACAGAUAUUUUCAGUAUUAUUUUUAUAGCUCAAACUUAUAGGAAAAGGCAUGCUUCAAACACAGACAUCUAUAGUAUUCAGUAUCUAUACUAGUAUAUAAAAACAAAAUUGUAUUAAGUUGAAAAAAAGGAAAAAAGGUGAACUGACAUGACUGAGCAUUGUUACUGAUCUGCCAACAUGUCCCAGAACCAUGCUGGAAUAAUAAGAUUGCUAACUCAGGAAGUAAAUUAAUAUGGUGAUCAAUGAAGUGGAACGUUUCACAGGAUGAACCCCUCCUCGAUAUGGGAAGGAUUAGGAAAGUUGUUUCAGGACUCAGCGAUAAUGACUCCCUUGUGGUAAGGUCAUAUUGAACAUUGCACCUUAUAUUUGGGGGAGGGGGGAUGUUGCAAACGACAGAAUUUAUUAGUAUUACAGAGUAAAUUCAUAUAUGGAGGGGA